GAUGAACGCUGGCGGCGUGCCUAAUACAUGCAAGUCGAGCGAAUGGAUUAAGAGCUUGCUCUUAUGAAGUUAGCGGCGGACGGGUGAGUAACACGUGGGUAACCUGCCCAUAAGACUGGGAUAACUCCGGGAAACCGGGGCUAAUACCGGAUAACAUUUUGAACCGCAUGGUUCGAAAUUGAAAGGCGGCUUCGGCUGCCACUUAUGGAUGGACCCGCGUCGCAUUAGCUAGUUGGUGAGGUAACGGCUCACCAAGGCAACGAUGCGUAGCCGACCUGAGAGUGUGAUAGGCCACACUGGGACUGAGACACGGCCCAGACUCCUACGGGAGGCAGCAGUAGGGAAUCUUCCGCAAUGGACGAAAGUCUGACGGAGCAACGCCGCGUGAGUGAUGAAGGCUUUCGGGUCGUAAAACUCUGUUGUUAGGGAAGAACAAGUGCUAGUUGAAUAAGCUGGCACCUUGACGGUACCUAACCAGAAAGCCACGGCUAACUACGUGCCAGCAGCCGCAGUAA
rnacentral:rRNA from 1 species